UGAGGAAUAUUGGUCAAUGGGCGGAAGCCUGAACCAGCCAAGUAGCGUGAAGGAUGACUGCCCUAUGGGUUGUAAACUUCUUUUAUAAGGGAAUAAUUGUGGGUACGUGUACCCAUUUGCAUGUACCUUAUGAAUAAGGAUCGGCUAACUCCGUGCCAGCAGCCGCGGUAAUACGGAGGAUCCGAGCGUUAUCCGGAUUUAUUGGGUUUAAAGGGAGCGUAGGCGGGCGCUUAAGUCAGCUGUGAAAGUUUGGGGCUCAACCUUAAAAUUGCAGUUGAUACUGGGUGCCUUGAGUGCAGUAUAGGCAGGCGGAAUUCGUGGUGUAGCGGUGAAAUGCUUAGAUAUCACGAAGAACUCCUAUUGCGAAGGCAGCUUGCUGGAGUGUAACUGACGCUGAUGCUCGAAAGUGUGGGUAUCAAACAGG
rnacentral:rRNA from 1 species